UGGGGAAUUUUGGACAAUGGGCGAAAGCCUGAUCCAGCAAUGCCGCGUGUGUGAAGAAGGCCUUCGGGUUGUAAAGCACUUUUGUCCGGAAAGAAAUCCUUGGCUCUAAUACAGUCGGGGGAUGACGGUACCGGAAGAAUAAGCACCGGCUAACUACGUGCCAGCAGCCGCGGUAAUACGUAGGGUGCAAGCGUUAAUCGGAAUUACUGGGCGUAAAGCGUGCGCAGGCGGUUUGCUAAGACCGAUGUGAAAUCCCCGGGCUCAACCUGGGAACUGCAUUGGUGACUGGCAGGCUAGAGUAUGGCAGAGGGGGGUAGAAUUCCACGUGUAGCAGUGAAAUGCGUAGAGAUGUGGAGGAAUACCGAUGGCGAAGGCAGCCCCCUGGGCCAAUACUGACGCUCAUGCACGAAAGCGUGGGGAGCAAACAGGAUUAGAUACCCUGGUAGUCCACGCCCUAAACGAUGUCAACUAGUUGUUGGGGAUCAUUCCUUAGUAACGUAGCUAACGCGUGAAGUUGACCGCCUGGGGAGUACGGUCGCAAGAUUAAAACUCAAAGGAAUUGACGGGGUC
rnacentral:rRNA from 1 species